rnacentral:rRNA from 1 species
AAAUUGAAGAGUUUGAUCAUGGCUCAGAUUGAACGCUGGCGGCAGGCCUAACACAUGCAAGUCGAACGGUAACAGGAAGCGCUUGCUGCUUCGCUGACGAGUGGCGGACGGGUGAGUAAUGUCUGGGAAACUGCCUGAUGGAGGGGGAUAACUACUGGAAACGGUAGCUAAUACCGCAUAACGUCGCAAGACCAAAGAGGGGGACCUUCGGGCCUCUUGCCAUCGGAUGUGCCCAGAUGGGAUUAGCUUGUUGGUGGGGUAACGGCUCACCAAGGCGACGAUCCCUAGCUGGUCUGAGAGGAUGACCAGCCACACUGGAACUGAGACACGGUCCAGACUCCUACGGGAGGCAGCAGUGGGGAAUAUUGCACAAUGGGCGCAAGCCUGAUGCAGCCAUGCCGCGUGUAU